rnacentral:tRNA from 1 species
AAUUAAAGUAGUUUAACUAAAACGCUAAGUUGCAAACUUAGAAUUAAACUUGUUUCUUUAAUUU